AUUGAACGCUGGCGGCAUGCUUUACACAUGCAAGUCGAACGGCAGCGCGGGCUUCGGCCUGGCGGCGAGUGGCGAACGGGUGAGUAAUGCAUCGGAACGUGCCCAGUAGUGGGGGAUAGCCCGGCGAAAGCCGGAUUAAUACCGCAUACGACCUAAGGGUGAAAGCGGGGGACCGAAAGGCCUCGCGCUAUUGGAGCGGCCGAUGUCGGAUUAGCUAGUUGGUGGGGUAAAGGCUUACCAAGGCGACGAUCCGUAGCUGGUCUGAGAGGACGACCAGCCACACUGGGACUGAGACACGGCCCAGACUCCUACGGGAGGCAGCAGUGGGGAAUUUUGGACAAUGGGGGCAACCCUGAUCCAGCCAUGCCGCGUGCGGGAAGAAGGCCUUCGGGUUGUAAACCGCUUUUGUUCGGGAAGAAAUCCUCUGGGCUAAUACCCCGGGGGGAUGACGGUACCGGAAGAAUAAGCACCGGCUAACUACGUG
rnacentral:rRNA from 1 species